UGCGUAGGGGCCUAGCGUUGUCCGGAUUUAUUGGGCGUAAAGAGCUCGUAGGCGGCUUGGUAAGUCAGGUGUGAAAUCUCCACGCUCAACGUGGAGGGGCCACCUGAUACUGCCAUGGCUUGAGUCCGGUAGGGGAGUGUGGAAUUCCCGGUGUAGCGGUGAAAUGCGCAGAUAUCGGGAGGAACACCCGUAGCGAAGGCGGCACUCUGGGCCGGUACUGACGCUGAGACGCGAAAGCGUGGGGAGCGAACAGG
rnacentral:rRNA from 1 species